rnacentral:rRNA from 1 species
GGAGUUAGCCGGUGCUUCUUCUGUGAGUGAUGUCCUUCCUGCCGGCUAUUAACCCGCAGGCCUUCUUCCUCACUGAAAGUGCUUUACAACCCGAAGGCCUUCUUCACACACGCGGCAUGGCUGGAUCAGGGUUGCCCCCAUUGUCCAAUAUUCCCCACUGCUGCCUCCCGUAGGAGUCUGGGCCGUGUCUCAGUCCCAGUGUGGCUGAUCAUCCUCUCAGACCAGCUACGGAUCGUCGCCUUGGUGAGCCGUUACCUCACCAACCAGCUAAUCCGACAUAGGCUCAUCCGAUAGCGCGAGGCCCGAAGGUCCCCCGCUUUCCCCCGUAGGGCGUAUGCGGUAUUAGCCUGGGUUUCCCCCAGGUUAUCCCCCACUACCGGGCAGAUUCCUAUGCAUUACUCACCCGUCCGCCGCUCGCCACCAGGGAGCAAGCUCCCCGUGCUGCCGCUCGACUUGCAUGUGUUAGGUCCGUCGCCGCCGACGCGUUCUACUACUGAGCGACGGAGUACAACUACUCGA